GGGGAGUUUUGGACAAUGGGGGCAACCCUGAUCCAGCAAUGCCGCGUGUGUGACGAAGGCCUUCGGGUUGUAAAGCACUUUUGGUGGGAACGAAACGGCGCCGGCUAAUACCUGGCGCUAAUGACGGUACCCGCAGAAUAAGCACCGGCUAACUACGUGCCAGCAGCCGCGGUAAUACGUAGGUGCGAGCGUUAAUCGGAAUUACUGGGCGUAAAGCGUGCGCAGGCGGUUUUGCAAGACAGAUGUGAAAUCCCCGGGCUCAACCUGGAACUGCAUUUGUGACUGCAAGGCUAGAGUGUGUCAGAGGGAGGUGGAAUUCCGCGUGUAGCAGUGAAAUGCGUAGAGAUGCGGAGGAACACCGAUGGCGAAGGCAGCCUCCUGGGAUAACACUGACGCUCAUGCACGAAAGCGUGGGGAGCAAAC
rnacentral:rRNA from 1 species